UACGUAGGUGACAAGCGUUGUCCGGAUUUACUGGGCGUAAAGAGCGCGCAGGCGGUCGAUCAAGUCGAGUGUGAAAGCCCCCGGUUCAACUGGGGAGGGUCAUUCGAUACUGAUCGACUCGAAGGCAGGAGAGGGUAGUGGAAUUCCCGGUGUAGUGGUGAAAUGCGUAGAUAUCGGGAGGAACACCAGUGGCGAAGGCGACUACCUGGAGCUUUGCUGACGCUGAUGCGCGAAAGCGUGGGGAGCGAUCCGG
rnacentral:rRNA from 1 species